GGAGAGAUGUCCGAGUGGCUGAAGGAGCACGCCUGGAAAGCGUGUGUACGGGAAACUGUAUCUGGGGUUCAAAUCCCCAUCUCUCCGCCA
rnacentral:tRNA from 1 species